rnacentral:rRNA from 1 species
CCUACGGGUGUCUGCAGUGGGGAAUAUUGGACAAUGGGGGGAACCCUGAUCCAGCCAUGCCGCGUGUGUGAAGAAGGCCCUCGGGUUGUAAAGCACUUUCAGUGAGGAAGAACGCCUGGUGGUUAAUACCCAUCAGGAAAGACAUCACUCACAGAAGAAGCACCGGCUAACUCCGUGCCAGCAGCCGCGGUAAUACGGAGGGUGCGAGCGUUAAUCGGAAUUACUGGGCGUAAAGCGCGCGUAGGUGGCUUGAUAAGCCGGUUGUGAAAGCCCCGGGCUCAACCUGGGAACGGCAUCCGGAACUGUCAAGCUAGAGUGCAGGAGAGGAAGGUAGAAUUCCCGGUGUAGCGGUGAAAUGCGUAGAGAUUGGGAGGAAUACCAGUGGCGAAGGCGGCCUUCUGGACUGACACUGACACUGAGGUGCGAAAGCGUGGGUAGCAAACAGGAUUAGAUACCCUGGUAGUC